rnacentral:rRNA from 1 species
AUUGAACGCUGGCGGCAGGCCUAACACAUGCAAGUCGAACGAGUGGCGGACGGGUGAGUAAUGUCUGGGAAACUGCCUGAUGGAGGGGGAUAACUACUGGAAACGGUAGCUAAUACCGCAUACCAUCGGAUGUGCCUAGAUGGGAUUAGCUUGUAGGUGGGGUAACGGCCCAACUAGGCGACGAUCCCUAGCUGGUCUGAGAGGAGGACCGGCCACACUGGAACUGAGACACGGUCCAGACUCCAACGGGAGGAAGCAGUGGGGAAUAUUGCACAAUGGGCGCAAGCCUGAUGCAGCCAUGCCGGGUGUAUGAAGAAGGCCUUCGGGUUGUAAAGUACUUUCAGCGGGGAGGCGGUACCCGCAGAAGAAGGACCGGCUAACUCCGUGCCAGCAGCCGCGGUAAUAC